rnacentral:lncRNA from 1 species
GCAAGUACCACCUGCCAGGCAUAACUCAAAAUAUGGGGGACAUACAAGUACAUAAGCCAAGCAAAAUUCCUUUAUCUAGCAGAGUUUACAAUCAAAAUCAGAAGAUAAACAAUGAAAAAAAUGCAAAAUAUAGCACAUGCUGGAUGUUAUUGAAUAAUUUAGAAAAAAAUGGAAAAGAUAAAAUGAAAGUGUGUGGUAUCUGGAGCAAAAUUUAAAAUAUUUUGAUCAGAGGAGGCUUUAUUUGAACCAUCUGAGAGAUAAUCUGCGAGGAGCAAACACUUCGGGCAAAUAGUAGUGACUGAUAUAAGCAAGAAUGGAUUCCAUGAUGAGGCUUUCUUAAUGGACUCAGGGAAUUAAAGCAGUGGUUUUUCCCAGAGCACCAGACCCCAGGCUCCUUUGUACUCUUGUUGGUAGAAGGCCAGAUGGUAGAAAACACUCAUUUCUGGAACAUCCAGCUAAGUGUAUUAACUUAACGUAAGAUUAUGUGUUUCUAAAAUAGGUUUGAAAAAAUUAUGAAUUUUCUGAAUAUUGAGUUGAGAUAUCAAGAAAUAUCCCCAACAAAAUUGUGAACAUAAAACAAGAGUACUUGUUCUAAUCCUAAAGAGCAAUAUUUGUUUUUCAAACUACUAUACAGAGUUUCUGUAAUUUAAAUAGACAUUUUAUAAGACAAAUAUGUUCAACCUUUUCAAUU